CCUACGGGUGGCAGCAGUGAGGAAUAUUGGUCAAUGGCCGGAAGGCUGAACCAGCCAUGCCGCGUGAAGGUCAGUGCCCUAUGGGCGUUAAACUUCUUUUGUGCGGGAGCAAUAAUGGUCACGUGUGGCCAGACGAGAGUACCGUACGAAUAAGCAUCGGCUAACUCCGUGCCAGCAGCCGCGGUAAUACGGGGGAUGCAAGCGUUAUCCGGAUUUAUUGGGUUUAAAGGGUGCGGAGGCGGGGAGGUAAGGCAGCGGUGAAAUGCCCCCGCUCAACGGGGUGAAGUGCAAUUGAUACUGGCGUGCUGGAAUGCGGAUGCCGUGGGAGGAAUGUGUGGUGUAGCGGUGAAAUGCAUAGAUAUCACACAGAACACCGAUUGCGAAGGCAUCUCACGAAUCCGCGAUUGACGCUGAGGCACGAAAGCGUGGGUAUCAAACAGGAUUAGAUACCCGUGUAGUC
rnacentral:rRNA from 1 species